CAAUUGUUUCAUCUGUAAGCAGCUUGGACACUGGGCUCGCGACUGUCCACUUCAACAGGGGGCACCAAUGCAGGGGCCCGGCCCCCAACAACCCCCACCCACACCAAUGCAGGGACCACCACCAGCGCCCAAUGGUUCCCUCGCGCCGCAGUAUCCCAUUUGGGGUCCACAAUAGCCCCUGUCAAAGCCCUGUCACUCCUAGGCCAAGAACACCUGAGCCCUGUAUGCAGGUUAUGAUAAAUGGACAGGUUAAGAGAAUGAUGGUGGACACGGGGGCCACAAACUCUAUCAUAGCCCACACAAUUCCAGGCACUUUGUCAAACUUACAUACUACUGUGGUGGGGGUAACAGGGACUGCGCAGACCAGCAUAUUUACACUUCCUCAAAUCGUCGAGGUGGCGGGGCAGACUGUCAGACAUUGCUUCCUCCACUGCCCGGACUGUCCCGUUAAUCUAUUGGGAAGGGAUUUGUUGUCACAACUCCGGGCUGAAUUAAUCUGCAACCCCGCCGGCAUCACCAUCACUUUCCCUAAUGGUUCCACACAAAACCUGACCAACACACCUGUCGCCUCGGCGCCUCACAAAGUGAUGAUGCAAUCGCCUCUGAAUGAUAAUGACUCAGCAGACAUUUAUUGGGCUUUGCUGCGGCCUGAAGACUCACAACAACGGGGUGUAAUGUCCAUGUUCAAUUUGUGGAAGCCAUGGAUUUACUCCCUCGGUUCUUAUAUUCCCCCGCCAGACCCACCACACUGUACUCUUGCUUACCUGUGCGAACCUGAUCUCCUGUAUGAUGAUGAUUUUAAGACCAUUGAAGGCCUUGUCUGGCAGUUGACCACAUCCGACAUAUUCGUGGGGAAAGAGGGGGCAGCGGCUGUCGUCAUAUUAACAGGGGAACAACAUCAUUGGUAUAAAAUGAAUAAUGCCAUACCACAUGUCUCUCUGGCUGUAGACGCCACAGGGGAAGCACGGAGUUUGGGACCGAUGGUUAAACGUCUGUCACACUUAUUGAUUGGGUUCCCACUGCGAUAACGGGGGUGCAUUUUUCCUUCUCGAAUCAGGCUUACAAAAUUACCUCAUCUGCGUCUGACUCUGUCGUUUUGCAACAUGACUCACUCACUCGAUACCAUGGCAGGGAAAAAACUGACCACCCUGCUGGGGAGGAAGUGUUUAAAUUACUACCUCCCGCGUUAUGGUCUACCGGCCCUUUUGAUGUUGGGUUUUGUGAUGUUCCCCCUCCUCGACAAAAAAACCCCAGUGUACCGACCACAGUAUCAAAACAAACCAGCUGCGGUGGCCGGCUUGUGAGACAACAUUGACGGACUUCUAAAGUCAGGGGUGAUUGAAAAAUCUGACUCCUGUUGGAACACACCCCUUCUUCCGGUGCCAAAAGCAGACGGCUUAACGUACCGAAUGGCACAUGAUCUGCGCGAGGUUAAUGAUGUUGUGCGGACUCAAGUGGCCUCGUUCCAAACCCUUUCACGGCCCUCAGCGUCCUAAAUUCCGAGCACAGGUGGUUUACAGUGAUUGACCUCGCCAAUGCUUUUUUCUGCAUUCCACUCGCUGACCACCUCCGGCACCCAUUCGCCUUUACAUUUGCAGGCCAGAAAUACUAGUACACUCGCCUGCCCCAGGGCUUCUCUCUGUCACCAGGCAUUUUCAAUUCCGUUUUACGUGAGCAGCUGAACAAACUUUCACUUCCUCCUGGGACAGUUUUAGUCCAGUACGUAGAUGACAUACUGCUUGCGUCACCUUCAGAGAGUGACGCUUUGGCUGCGGCUCAGUCAGUACUACAACAAUUGGCCUCCUCAGGGUUCAAGUGCAGCAAAAACAAACUGCAAUUUGUCCGACAGUGCGUGUCUUUUUUAGGCAGACGAUUAUCCGCUGCAGGUUUGGCUCCAUCAUCCACCCAGCUCUCCUCCAUCCUCAACCAUGCCCGGCCUCAGACUGUGCGGGACAUGAUGUCCUUUUUCGGCCUGUGUAACUACAGCCGGAACUACAUUCCCUCAUACUGCGACAACACCGCCAUCUUGCGUCGUCUCAUAUUGGACAAAGGCGUGCGCAACCUGACUCUCCCACUUGACUGGUCCUCUGAGGCAGAGGCUUGUUUCAUCCAGCUGAAACAACUCCUCGCACACUCAGUGACUCUCACGAUUCCUGACUACACGCGGCCGUUCUUUUUAGACGUGUCUGAAAAAGAUGGCAUUGUUAAUGCGGCACUUUUUCAGAAGGGGGGAGGCGGCACAGGGAGACAAGUUUUACUAUAUCAUAGCUCAAAGCUAGAUACCGUAGAGGACGGUCAACCACCAUGCACUAGAAUGGCGGCGGGGGUGGCAAAAGCAUUACAAAAAACAGCACAUGUAGUGAUGGCGCACCCACUGACUGUUUUGACAGACCACGGCAUUGUAUCAUAUAUACAAUCAGCCUCUUUUUCAAUGUCACAAAUGAGACAACAGCGACUUUCGAAAGUACUUCUACAACCACACAUCACUUUCACAGCAGACGGCGUGAACAUGGCAGAUCACAUGAACCCUCUGCCACCGCACGAUUUCCAGUGAUGCGAGAUGUUAAAAUAAGACCAGACAUGAAAGCAGGUCCGAUACUGGGUGACGAGGUACACCACGUGUAUACAGACGGUUGCUGUUUCAGAAACAAGGACACAGGGAAGUUAGAUUCGGCAUACGCAGUAGUCAAACUAGACAAAGAACAGGGGAAGUACAUUACAGAGGAAGCACAGGCACUCGAAGUUGGCUCAGCGCAAAAAGCGGAACUUGUGGCUGUGAUAAAGGCCCUGCGAAGACACAGUGGAGAAAAAAUACAUUUAUUUACAGAUUCUGCAUAUGUGCACAGCCUGUGUCAUUGGGAAUUGACAAAAAUGCAAAGGGGCAGCUGGAACACCUCCACCGGUAACCUGGUGAAACAGCAACAGGUGGUACAGCAGUUAGCCGAAGCUAUAAUGCAGCCCAAAGAGCUGGCCAUUAGAAAGUGCGCAGCACAUCAAAAAGGAACCGACCCAGUCUCAAGGGGAAAUGAAGCCGCAGAUGCAGCUGCUAAACAAGCUGGCGGCUACACAAACACUGCCUCAAAUAUAAUGAUAUUCGGCAAACAAAAUGAACCUAUGUCGUGCACACUCUCUGAUGUAAGUUCCAUGCAGGAAAAAAGCGGGAGUAUACGAACAAAAUCAAUAGGUACGGUUCGGGGCAAAAAAGGGACAGGACGGUCUAUGGAGGUCGGCACAGGGAAAGGUGGUACUCCCAUGCAAACUGUUUGACAUAGUGGUGAAAGAAGCGCAUGGCUACGCACACAACAGUCAAGCCAACACUGCCAGAAAGCUUGACUUUUGGUGGCAUCCGUUUUUACCACAAAUGGUGGCGGACUUUGUAAAAACAUGCACAACAUGUCAAAAAUACACUCCCAAACCCUCACUUAAACCACCUAUGGGGCAGUUCCCAGUCACCGACAUGGGACCACAAAACAGAACACAGGGGUACAGAUACCUGUUGGUAAUUGCGGACGCCUACUCAGGGUGGAUUGAGGCAGUCCCCACAAAAAGGGAACAUGCAAAUACCAAGGCAUGGCUUCCCACCACAAGUGAGGUUGGACAAUGGCUCUCAUUUCAAAAACACUGACUUACAAACUGUGGAAAAAGCAUAUGGCAUUAUGCAUAAAUUUGGGACGGUGUACCACCCACAAUCCCAAGGGAAGGUGGAAAGAGCAAAUGGGGUGGUAAAACAAAAAUUUGCAAAAAUCACCAGUGUCACAGGAAUGUCCUGGGUGGACGCUCUGCCCAUUGCUUUACUCGAAACCAGAUCAACCCCACACUCAGAGACCGGACUGUCCCCCUAUCAGCUACAGACUGGCCGACUGUUUGGAGAAGCCGCUGGGGAACCAACACCCCAGCAGUGUGAGGAACUACCCUUAAUACAGGGGGUGCACCCACACUAUUGGAACACACUAACGCAGGCGGUAGCUUCUCUCCAGACACAGGUGCGUUCUCUCCGACCACAACCAGAGAACGCAGGACCAGACACGGACGUGCAGUGGGUGUUCCUGAACGAUACAAAAGGAGGUGGGAGGAGCCUCGGUGGGAUGGCCCAUUCAAGGUCACUGAGAGGACAACGCAUGCUGUGAAAGUCGCGGGAAAAACUCUGUGGUUUCAUCUCAACCAGUGCGCACCUGCGGAGCAGCCCCGACAUCCUGAGUCCCAUACCUCCACCGCCCUCGGAGGAGGAGCUGAUGCAUGACACUGACCCCUGAGUACAUACACACCUCAGAGGCCAGACACAUAGUACACUGUUAGCUGUAUCUCCAAGUGCUGGCAACCUCUGGUGUAGGUCAUAGAAGAGCGCGACUAUAGCACUGUUAAGAAGAUAUCAAGACACCAACCACAACGUGUAAGCGGAUCAUGUCACCUUGUAUCUUUCUCCUAGUGUGGGUAUGUGUGUGUGUGUGUGUGUGUAUUUGCAUAUGUGUGUGUGCAUCGGUGUGCAUCUAUACAAUGUUCUCAGUUUAACAGGUGUGCAUCUAUACAAGGUUCUCAGUUUAACGAUUGUGAUUUAUACACUGUUCUCAUUUUAAACAUUCUACUAUAUGCAUUAUACUCACUGAACAGGUUGAUGACGACCAGUAAGACAACCUUUCCUUCGAUUCCGCUUAUCUUGCGGCUUCCGACGACGUUUGAUGUUCUUUUCAUGUGAUUUGUGUUCUGAGGGUUUUUUCUGAUGUAUUUUUGUGUGUGACGUAUGUUCCAUACGUCAACAGGGGGAUUUGUACUGAAAUAACAUUUUGUACUGUUGUAUUGAAAUAACACUUUGCACUGAACUAACAUAUAGCUAACUAAUGACAUAUAGCUAAAUAAUGGAAUAACAUAUAGCUCAAUAAAUACUGACACCUAUAAAGCUUGAGAUACGUUAUACUUAAGAUUUUAUAACAAAUCUUGCAGUGCCUGCACUACGUGCAUUAGACUAAUUAACAUACAGACAGUAGAUGUCACAAGAUGUUCUGUUCAGACCAAAUUUAGCCUAGGACAGCAAAAUAAUUACACAAUAACGAUUACGAUAAGUCCAGACACAUAGUCAGGCGGUUCACCCACGUACAGACCGCACCCACCAUGCGGGAUAAAUAGCAAAUUAACUAUUGUACCAGGUUCCUUCCCUCUGCGCGAUCCAGCCCUGGUUGGUGACUCGUGAGACAGAAACCCAGAGACUCUGUAAGUAUUGUUAUUGCUUGGAGCAAAUAAACAUGAUUUGAUGGAAUGCAUUGAACUCAUGACUGUUUUCUCCCUCUGAAUAAACAAACACACGGCGAGGACAUGGCCGAGGUCUAGGACGAGAAUCCUGCCGAACAUAUGCCACUUUUAAGAGAGACUCUUCAGGACUUGGCAGACAUGGGACUGAUGCUCCUGGAGGGAUCUGGAAAAGAUCAGAAUGUCAUCCAGUCCAGAACAGCCGGCGUCUCUGCCCCAGCAACAGCUCCACGUCGUGGCCGACACCGGUUAUUGAUGAAUUUUGCAAAGCUCAGCAACGGAAUGAUGGGUGGGCGCUGGGGCAAGGCUGACGGCAGUGACUGCAUCGCUAUGACAUAACAUUUCUGCAUAAUCCUUUCAAAGUGGCCUGUGUCUGUCGGUGCUUCAGGAUAUCAGUUAUUCAUUCAGUCAAUCACCUUGUGGUUCCAAGUCAUAAAGUGAUCUCUUCUGUCCAACCUUCUGAGUGACCAUCUCACCUUAGCAACCUGAAGUGGUUUUUGAUGUUCCAUGCCUCCCUGGAGACGAAACCCCCAUGGCGCUCCCCCGGAUAACGUAAUUAUCAUUUCUUCUGCAACCAUUCUUCCUCCCUUUUUUUUAAAGCUGUUCUUCUUGUUCUUGAUUAUUUUCCAUUCCUUUUAGUUUUUUGUUAUUUCAUCUGGGGGGCCCUUAGUGCUUUGGCCCCAUGGUCAGUGGUCA